CUGAUUAUAAAGUGGCAACACUGCAGCUGACAAUUUCUGCCUGGUUUCGCAAUCAACUUUCAGUCACUGGGGAUGAAAGGAACAAGCAAAUACUAAAUACUGCUUGCUAUUGCUGGAAAGCUCAGUAAAGAAACUGCAAUGGUGGUCAUUGUAGAAUGCGAUUAAAGAAGUCCCAAACCAUUCGUCCAUGAUGUACUUUUCAGUGUAGACAUUGGUGGAAUGUGGGUA